rnacentral:rRNA from 1 species
GAUGAACGCUGGCGGCGUGCCUAAUACAUGCAAGUCGAGCGAAGCGGGGAAGGUUGGGUAACACGUGGAAAACCUCCUAUAAAACUGGGAUAACUUCGGGAAACCGGAUCUAAACAGGAUACUUAGAGAUGGAUCAGCGCUGCAGUAGCUAGUUGGGAAGGUAACGGCGUACCAAGGCAACGCGGCAUAGCCGACCUGAGAGGGUGAUCGGCCACACUGUAACUGAGACACGGUCCAGACUCCUACGGGAGGCAGCAGUAGGGAAUCUUCCGCAAUAGGCGAAAGCCUGACGGAGCAACGCCGCGUGAGUGAUGAAGGUCUUCGGAUCGUAAAACUCUGUUAUUAGGGAAGCGGUACCUAAUCAGAAAGCCACGGCUAACUACGUGCCAGCAGCCGCGGUAAUAC